CCCUUAGAUGUCCUGGGCUGCACGCGCGCUACACUGGAAGUUACGGAUUGAGAUACUACCUCGUCCGAAAUGGUCCGGGUAAUCACCUAAAAGCUUGUCAUAAUUGGAAUGGAUUAUUGUAACUAGUAAUCCUGAACGAGGAAUUCCUAGUAAGUCCCAGUCAACAGCUGGUACUGAUUACGUCCCUGCCCUUUGUACACACCGCCCGUCGCUACUACUGAUUGGACGUUUAAGCAAGAUUUUUAAACACUGACAGUGUGUAGUUCACGCUAUACUACAGUGAGAAGAAGAAGAUCGAGCUUACUUGUCUAGAGGAAGUAAAAGUCGUAACA
rnacentral:rRNA from 1 species